GGUGAGAGAUGAGCGCUGGUGCUAAUAUUGCUUCCUCCACUUCAUUCAGUCUAGGACCCAGGCCACAGUUAGGAUGAGUCUUCCCUUCUCAGUCCAGUGUGCAGACUUCAAGGACGUGCCCACAGGUCAGACCUCAGCUCUGUCUGGGAACUUCACUGGAGUGCCGCCUUCUCUUCCUACUGCCUGUCGAUCCAGAUGUGGCCUGUCGAUCCAGAUGUGGCACUCUCCGCUGCCCUUCAAGCUCCACAUCUGCCUGCCUGCCACCGUGCUUCCCACCAUACCGAUAACAGAUGUUCUACAUCUGGAUUUCUAGGACCCAAGCCACAGUUAGGAUGAUCCCACCUCAAUCAGUCCAGCCUGCAAACUUCACAGAUGUGCUCAGAGAUAAAGCAUGCACAGCCCUGUCAGUUCUGAAAGCAGAUCCAUCCACAGAAGAAGGCAUCUGUGUGAACCUGGAAGUAGGUGUCAACUACAGCAGCUUCCCUUGUGUGUUCCGUGGGAGAAAGGACAUAUAAAUGACAGGAUGCCCAUAAAACAGCGUGUUGUGCAAUGGUAACAACGAAGGACAAAAGUAACUACACCCCUGUGGCUGAACCUUGAAUGUUUUGUACUGAGUGAAAGAAGACUGACCCCCAAAGCAGGAACAUCUUUCUAAUAUAAGGAACCAGGUGACUGACCAGGGAAGGGCAGGGAGGAGGGCCUGACCAGCAGGGGCCUUGUAGGGCUACUGACGCAUGGGCAGCGUUUUGGAUGUGUGCUGGGUCCCACGGGUGGUUCCACUAUAAUGCAUUGUUAUUUGUGUGUUGUUAGAAGUUUGUGCCCUUUGUGCAGUCUGUUAUUUCUCACAACGGAAAAGGUGAGUUCCAGGCCAGCUAGAGGUACACUGUGAGAGUCUGUCCUAAAAACAACACAAACCAGUAAUGGUGGUGCAUGCCUGUAAUCCCAGCACUGGGGAGGCAGAGGCAGGAGGAUCUCUGAAUUUGAGGUCAGCCUGGUCCACAGAGUAAGUUCAGGGACAGAUAGGUGUACACAGAGAAACCCUGUCUGGAAAAAUAAAGUGAAAAAAAAAAACCCUAAAACCUAAACCAUCUUAGUAAUUUUAGGGUGUGUAGUGAAUGAAUUUGUAUUUCCCUUCCUGUCACUGUAAUAAACAGCAUUACCACAGUGACAUCUAGAAGGAAGAGUUUGUUUGGACGUAGGGCUCCAGCGAGGUAAGGGUUUGUCAGGUAGGGAAGCAUAGUGGUUGGAACAGGAAGCUGAGGGGCCACAUGUCAACCCCAAGCACAGAGCAGAGAGAGCAAACUGGAAGUGAGGAAGCAAACUCUCAAGGCCCGCCCCCAGCAGUAACUUCCUCCGGCAGGGCUGGAGCUCCUGCACCUUCCCAGACAGCACCAACUGCUCAGAUGCCACAAGUCCACUGGGGACAGUUUUCGUUUAGAUUAUUGCACCUAAUUAGUAGGAAGUAGCUUUUUCAUUUUGUCUUUAUCAACUUGGAUUUUCUCUUUUCUGAAAUGUCUCUAUUUUGUCCGUUUAUUUAUUGGGUUACCUGUCACUUUGGUAACCCAAUUCUAACGUUUGUUCUGAGGAAAGGCUUUCCCUCUCCUCUCUGUCUGUUUUUAAUAAUAUAUAAAAAUAAGUUUUAUGAUGAUGACUUUGUGUGUGUGUAUUCUCUCUCUCCCUUCCUCCCUCUCUCUCUCCCUCCCUCCCUCCCUCCCUCCCUCCCUCCCUUCCCCCUCUUUGUGUGUGUGUGUGUGUGUGUGUGUGUGUGUGUGUGUGUGUGUAGUCUCAGGAAUUACAGGAUAGCC